AGAGCGAACGCUGGCGGCAGGCCUAAUACAUGCAAGUCGAACGGAUCCUUCGGGAUUAGUGGCGGACGGGUGAGUAACACGUGGGAACGUGCCCUUUGGUUCGGAACAACUCAGGGAAACUUGAGCUAAUACCGGAUGUGCCCUUCGGGGGAAAGAUUUAUCGCCAUUGGAGCGGCCCGCGUCUGAUUAGCUAGUUGGUGGGGUAAAGGCCUACCAAGGCUACGAUCAGUAGCUGGUCUGAGAGGAUGAUCAGCCACACUGGGACUGAGACACGGCCCAGACUCCUACGGGAGGCAGCAGUAGGGAAUCUUGCGCAAUGGGCGAAAGCCUGACGCAGCCAUGCCGCGUGAAUGAUGAAGGUCUUAGGAUUGUAAAAUUCUUUCAGCGGGGACGAUAAUGACGGUACCCGCAGAAGAACGCCCCGGCUAACUUCGCGCCAGCAGCCGC
rnacentral:rRNA from 1 species